UUCCAGAAGAAAGAGACACUCCACAGGCAGUUCCUCUCACCUCACACCCCUUCCCCUUUAAGAGACCUAAGGGUGGCUUGGGUUUUAUGUGUAAGUGUAUAGGAAGGCCACCCACAUAUUAGGAAGCUAAAGUUGCCAGAAAACAAAAUUCCCAGACUUCAAAUACCUCCAUUCCUGGAGCUGAGGCUCCAUCUGACCUCUGAAGGUUGCUUCUGCUCUUAGGCUGAACUCACAAACAUUGCUGACGGAUUCUGGAGGCCCCUUCCUUCCCUCAACGGAGAAGACCCCUCUCACCUCUCAGCAGGCCAAACAUCCCCCAAGCUCCAGAUGAUAGCAUGGCACCUAGACUCCUGAGCCCCAAAGAUUCUCUCACCACAGGGGGAGUAUUAAGCCUCCAGACGUUUCUAGUCAUGCUACACUUUCAGCAUAGAAACAUGCGAAAAAGGAAUGAGCAACCAGGAACCUACCAAGUGCCACAUGGGCCUCUCAGGGCAAAAAAAAAAAAAAAACUAACACAGGGCUGGGGAACGGCUCAGUGAGUCAUGUUUGCACACAUGAGGACACUGAAUUCAAUCCUCAGAACCCACG
rnacentral:lncRNA from 1 species